rnacentral:tRNA from 1 species
GGGCGCGUAGCUCAACGGUAGAGCACUGCCUUCACACGGCAGGGGUUACAGGUUCGAAACCUGUCGCGCCCA